GGUGCUAUAGUGUAGUGGUUAUCACUCGGGAUUUUGAUUGAUUCGAACUUCCCGAAACCCAGGUUCGAACCCUGGUAGCACCU